rnacentral:rRNA from 1 species
GACGGAGGGUGCUAGCGUUGUUCGGAAUCACUGGGCGUAAAGGGCGCGUAGGCGGCGCCGCAAGUCGGCUGUGAAAGCCCGGGGCCCAACCCCGGAGGUGCAGUCGAGACUGUGGUGCUGGAGGCCGGAAGAGGAGGGUGGAAUACCCAGUGUAGAGGUGAAAUUCGUAGAUAUUGGGUGGAACACCGGUGGCGAAAGCGGCUCUCUGGUCCGGUCCUGACGCUGAGGCGCGAAAGCGUGGGGAGCAAACAGG